AUCGCUUCUUGGCCUUUUGGCUAAGAUCAAAUGUAGUAUUUGUUCUUAACAGUUUAAAUUAGAAGCCUUACAAGCUAAAAGACCUUUAAACUACCCAAGAUGCUGAAUUCAGGGUUCAUAUUUAUUUUUUUAAGACUUCCA
rnacentral:snRNA from 1 species